rnacentral:rRNA from 1 species
UACGUAGGGUGCGAGCGUUGUCCGGAAUACUGGGCGUAAAGCGUGCGCAGGCGGUUCGUUGUGUCGGCGGUGAAAGCCCCGGGCUUAACCUGGGAAUGGCCGUUGAAACUGGGGAGCUCGAGUGUGGAAGAGGGGGGUGGAAUUCCAGGUGUAGCAGUGAAAUGCGUAGAGAUCUGGAGGAACACCGAUGGCGAAGGCAGCCCCCUGGGCUAACACUGACGCUCAUGCACGAAAGCGUGGGGAGCAAACAGG